UACGUAGGGUGCGAGCGUUGUCCGGAAUUAUUGGGCGUAAAGAGCUCGUAGGCGGUUUGUCGCGUCUGCUGUGAAAUCCCGAGGCUCAACCUCGGGCUUGCAGUGGGUACGGGCAGACUAGAGUGAUGUAGGGGAGACUGGAAUUCCUGGUGUAGCGGUGAAAUGCGCAGAUAUCAGGAGGAACACCGAUGGCGAAGGCAGGUCUCUGGGCAUUAACUGACGCUGAGGAGCGAAAGCAUGGGGAGCGAACAGG
rnacentral:rRNA from 1 species